ensembl:lncRNA
GCCAGCUUUUCCAGAGGAAUACUGGAGGCAGAGUUAAAGGCUUUACAAAAGUCUAGGUAGAUUACAUCUGCAGCCUUUCCCUCAUCCACUAGCUCAGGGGGCUGAGUACCCUGAAGAUAUCUGGUCUGACUAUUAAAGAUAGAAAUAAAGAAGGCAUUGAGAACCUCAACCUUUUCCUCAGCCUCUGUGAUAAUGUUCCCUGUUGCAUUCAAUAAAGGACAGAGAUUUCAGAGUGGUCUGCAUAUAACCCAAAACUUGCUGGAAGAUUAAUCAGAAGUCUAAGAAAUCAAGCAGAGAAGGACCGAACCAGAAAAAAAUAUCACUGUUUGUGACUAUCUGAUUAAAUUGAAUUGGUGUAAGUCUAUGGAGACUGAUAACAUGCAUCUCAGGAUCCUGAGAAUUCCCAGUGGCUAGAAAAAAAGGGAAACAUUACUCCCAUUUUUAAGAAAAGGAGAAAGGAAGACUUGGGAAAUGAUAGGCCAGUGUGUCUCAUGUCUGUGUCUGAGAAGAUCAUGGAGUGAAUCCCCCUGGAAGCUAUGCUAAGGCACACACAAGUAAAGGAGGUGAUCUGAGAAAACCAGCAUGCUUCACCAACAGCAAACUGUUCCUCAUCAAUCAAGUGAUCUUCUAUGCUGGAGGGACUGUACUGGUGCACAAGGGAAUACCUACUGAUGCCAUUUAACCAGACUUCUGUAAGGCCUGUGACAUGAUCUCACACAACAUCUUUACCUCUAAAUUGGAGAGAGAGAAGUUUGAAAGGUAGACUAUAUGGUUGAUAAGGAAUUGGUUAAAUGGCCACAGUUAAUUGUUCUAUGUCCAGGUAGAAUCUGGUGAUGACUGCUGUCUCUCAGGGGUUAAUCUUGGAACCAGUACUCUUUAACAUCUUCAUCAGAGACAUAGACAAUGGGAUGGUGUGCAUCCUCACCAAGUUUGCAGAUGACACCAAGCUGAGUUGUGAAGUUGAAACAACAGAAAGAAGGGAUGCCAUACAAAGAGACCUGAACAAGCUUGAGUAGUGGGCCCAUGUAAACCAUAUGAGGUUCAACAAAAUCAAGUACAGGCGCUGCACCUGGGUCAGGGCAAUCUGACAUGAGCACAGACUGAGAGGACAAUUCACUGAGAACAGCCCUGAAGAGAAGGACUUCAUCUGGUGGAUGAAAAGCUUGACAGGAGAUCUGGGAUCUGGGUUUAUUCAUUCUGGAGAAGAGGAGGUUCCAGGGAAACGUUAUUGCAAUCUUUCAGUACUUAAAGGGACCCUAUAGAAAAGAUGCAUACUGACUUUUUUACAUGGGCUGAUAGUGAUAAGACAAUGGAGAAUGUUUUAAAGCUACUAAGCCUACACUAUUGUAAACAGCCUCCUUUCAGUUAGAAAACAAAUGUAUGCCAGCUAGAUAUAUACACAGAAGUAAAACUAUAUUCAUACAUUGCCAGAUUUCUGAUAUAUUUAGGAAAGAUUCUGAAAGACACCACAUGAAAACAAAGAAACAAACAAAUAAAAAGCCUAUGUAUACUAGACUUCCUUCAUCCAGCAAAAAUGUGGGAAAAUAAAUUAACAAAACAUCACAGUAACAUCAAGACAGAAAUGAAUCACAGGAAAAUUUGUUAAUGCAAAAUAGUUCAGAAAAUCAAUCAAACAAACAAAAAACACAGAAAAGCAAGUGUUUGAGAAACAUGCAUAGUAGGAUCCAGUUAUUGCUAACAGAAAACAAUAUGAUAUGCUUAAGUUAUCAGAUGUGAAGAAGUCUAUAGACUAAACAAUAAAUGUCUCUGGUUAAGAUAUGCACUGAAGACAGAUGCCACACUGUGAGAUACUGCUUUAUGUGAUAUCCACAUAUUCAUGAAUGGAAGAAGCCAAUGAAUCAAUUACAAAAAAAACAGUCUAGGAAAUUUAAACACAGCAGGAGGUUCAAAAUAAAUUUGGAAGACUGAACUUAAACAGCAGGAGGCAAUAAUGAUACCUGAUAACCAAAGCAGCAAAUAGUACCAAACAAUAAAACUUAAAUAAAGCUUAUAAAAAUUGUAAUAAAACAUAUGUAAACAGCUAUUCAGAAAAUCUAUGAAGAAUUAAAAAAGGAAAAAGGAGAAAAACAAAACCAACAGCAGCAAAUGGAAAUGUUUGCAUUAAAAUCCCAGCCAUCAGGAACAGAUAAUGCAUAGGAAAUUCCUUUCACAUAGGAAGUGCAAAUAGAAAUCAUAUCUAAAGGAAUUCCAGCUUAAAAUAAAAAUAAAAUAAAAUAAAUACUAUAUAUUUGUAAUAGCUGUUGAAGAACUAAAAAGAAUCUUUAAAGAUUUUUUUGGUUUCAAAGUAUUCUUAAAAAAAUUUAUUAAUACCUUAAUACUCCUAAAGGUAGUGAAAAUAAGCUGUUACAAAUUCACAUAGGUAAAAAGAGUGUGUUAUCAUAGACUCAUUUAUAUUUACAUGUCUGAAUAUUUAUCAUAUCCAGGUGAAAAACUUACCCUC